rnacentral:rRNA from 1 species
GGUCGAAAGAGGAAAUUCAUUCGCGUUUCGGCUGUCGAAGUGGAGCGUUCGUAUGACGGAUAACGUUUAGGCGUCGUCCGCGUCUUACGUUCUUCGAAGCGAUGUCGAACGCGUGCACUUUUCCUCUAGUAGGACGUCGCGAUCCGUUGGGUGUCUGUUUAAGGUUCGAGGUGGAGCCCGCUCGAAGAUUAUAUCUAUCGAACGGACCCUCGUUUUCCCGACAGACUCGCUCGACGGUAUACAAAUGGCGCGAGGCCGCUACUUUUGAGUUAGCGUUCGGCCCGUAGCAAGCACGUUUCGCGUUUGACGGCCAUCGGACCUGGUGCCGAUUCUGUCCCGGAACGACUGUUGGUUACGGUGUUCUCGAACAGACCUCG